AGCUUAGGUAGCUUUAGAGGUUAAAAUGUCCGCCUUGGAGGCGAAAGGUCGCGGGUUCGAAUCCCGACCGAGUCA